CCCUUAGAUGUUCUGGGCCGCACGCGUACUACACUGAGUAAAUCAAUGGGUAAGGGAACACGAAAGUGCAACCUAAUCUUGAAAUUUGCUCGUGAUGGGGAUCGACGGUUGCAAUUUUCCGUCGUGAACGAGGAAUACCUUGUAGGCGCGUGUCAUCAUCACGCGCCGAAUACGUCCCUGCCCUUUGUACACACCGCCCGUCGCUCCUACCGAUUGAGUGAUCCGGUGAGGCUCUGGGACCUGGACGGAAAGAGCGUUUCGCUUGUUCUGUUUGGGAAACUUGGUCGAACCUUAUCAUUUAGAGGAAGGAGAAGUCGUAACA
rnacentral:rRNA from 1 species